UACGGGGGGGGCAAGCGUUGUUCGGAAUUACUGGGCGUAAAGGGCUCGUAGGUGGCCAACUAAGUCGGACGUGAAAUCCCUCGGCUUAACCGGGGAACUGCGUCCGAUACUGGUUGGCUUGAGUUUGGGAGAGGGAUGCGGAAUUCCAGGUGUAGCGGUGAAAUGCGUAGAUAUCUGGAGGAACACCGAUGGCGAAGGCAGGUCUCUGGGCCACUACUGACGCUGAGAAGCGAAAGCAUGGGGAGCGAACAGG
rnacentral:rRNA from 1 species